rnacentral:rRNA from 1 species
AGUGAACGCUGGCGGUAGGCCUAACACAUGCAAGUCGAACGGCAGCACAGUAAGAGCUUGCUCUUACGGGUGGCGAGUGGCGGACGGGUGAGGAAUACAUCGGAAUCUACUUUUUCGUGGGGGAUAACGUAGGGAAACUUACGCUAAUACCGCAUACGACCUACGGGUGAAAGCAGGGGAUCUUCGGACCUUGCGCGAUUGAAUGAGCCGAUGUCGGAUUAGCUAGUGGGCGGGGUAAAGGCCCACCAAGGCGACGCUCCGUAGCUGGUCUGAGAGGAUGAUCAGCCACACUGGAACUGAGACACGGUCCAGACUCCUACGGGAGGCAGCAGUGGGGAAUAUGGGACAAUGGGCGCAAGCCUGAUCCAGCCAUACCGCGUGGGUGAAGAAGGCCUUCGGGUUGUAAAGCCCUUUUGUUGGGAAAGAAAAGCAGCAGGUUAAUACCCCGCUGUUCUGACGGUACCCAAAGAAUAAGCACCGGCUAACUUCG